rnacentral:rRNA from 1 species
UACGUAGGGUGCAAGCGUUGUCCGGAAUUAUUGGGCGUAAAGAGCUCGUAGGCGGUCUGUCGCGUCGGCUGUGAAAACCCGAGGCUCAACCUCGGGCCUGCAGUCGAUACGGGCAGACUAGAGUGCUGUAGGGGAGACUGGAAUUCCUGGUGUAGCGGUGAAAUGCGCAGAUAUCAGGAGGAACACCGGUGGCGAAGGCGGGUCUCUGGGCAGUAACUGACGCUGAGGCGCGAAAGCCAGGGGAGCGAACGGA